CCCUGUGGCUCAGUUGGUAGAGCAUGGUGUUUGCAACGCCAGCAUGGUGUGUGCAACGCCAGGGUUGUGGGUUCGAUUCCCACGAGGG
rnacentral:tRNA from 1 species